GCUGGGCACAGUGGUGCCUGCCUGUAAUCCCAGCAGCUCAGGAGGCUGAGACAGGAGGAUGGCAAAUUCAAGACCAGCCUCAGCAACUUAGUGAGGCCUUAAGCAACUUAGUGAGACUCUGCCUCAA
rnacentral:sRNA from 1 species